rnacentral:rRNA from 1 species
UACAGAGGGUGCAAGCGUUGUUCGGAAUUAUUGGGCGUAAAGCGCGUGUAGGCGGCUUUGCAAGUCGGGUGUGAAAGCCCUCAGCUUAACUGAGGAAGUGCGCCCGAAACUGCUUUGCUUGAGUGCCGGAGAGGAUGGCGGAAUUCCCCAAGUAGAGGUGAAAUUCGUAGAUAUGGGGAGGAACACCGGUGGCGAAGGCGGCCAUCUGGACGGUAACUGACGCUGAGACGCGAAAGCGUGGGUAGCAAACAGG